GCAACAGAUCUGCCUGCGAGAGAGGUAGCAGGGAUUCAAAUAGUAUGUCCCCCUUGGUAUCAUUUUGUACCUUAUCAGCCCCCGUUAACAGAACCGAGCAAUGGGAGCACUGAACAGAGCAGGUCUGUUUCGCGUUUAGGAGACUUGUAUUGGACGCUGUUAUGUUCUUGCCUGGAUUGUGUUACUUUUGAUAUCUUCCUCCCGUAACUGAGCUUCAAUAUUUUCAAGAGACAAGACUCAUCUGAACAAUGGGAGAUAAUAACAGUAAAAAUGGUAGGAAUGAAGAGGCAGCUGAAAGAGAUGUGAGGAGAAAAGCAAAGAUUGAGAAACUGAAAAAAGAGUUGUGUGAUAAGAACACUGCUCUUGAUGUACACUCCUGCCCUCUCAUUUAAG